rnacentral:pre_miRNA from 1 species
UGAACUCAAAUUAUAUUGAGUUGAAAUGUUUGCCUACGUUUGCCGCUAGGGGCGCUGUUCCAGCUGCGUACAAAUUUGAGUUA